rnacentral:rRNA from 1 species
CCUACGGGUGACAGCAGUGGGGAAUAUUGGCCAAUGGGGUUAACCCUGAUCCAGCGACGACGCGUGAGUGAAGAAUUAUUUCGGUAUGUAAAGCUCUAUCAGCAGGGAAGAAACUGACGGUACCUGACUACGAAGCCCCGUCUUACUACGUUCCAGCAGCCACUUUCAUCCAUAGGGGUCAAGCGUUAUGCGGAUUUGCUGGGGGUAAAUGGAGCGUCGACGGUACAGCAGGGCUGAUGUGAAAGUUCGGGGCCCAACCCCGGGACGGCAGUUGAAACUGUUGAACUGGAGUACAGGAGAGGUAAGCGGAAUUCGUAGUGUAGCGGUGAAAUGCGUAGAUAUUAGGAGGAACUCCAGUAGCGAAGGAGGCAUACUGGACUGUAACUGACGUUGAGGCUCGAAAGCGUGGGGAGCAAACAGGAUUAGAUACCCUAGUAGUC